rnacentral:rRNA from 1 species
UACGUAGGUGGCAAGCGUUGUCCGGAUUUAUUGGGUUUAAAGGGUGCGUAGGCGGCUUUGUAAGUCAGUGGUGAAAUAUGGCAGCUCAACUGUCAAGGUGCCAUUGAUACUGCGGAGCUUGAGUACAGAUGAGGUAGGCGGAAUUGACGGUGUAGCGGUGAAAUGCGUAGAUAUCGAGAGGAACACCUGCGGCGAAGGCGGGUUGCUGGGCUGACACUGACGCUGAAGUGCGAAAGCUAGGGGAGCGAACGGG